AGUAAAACAAGCUUCCUUCCAGUCCAGCAGUUAGUAUUUUAGUCCAGAUCUGCUCCAUGUGGACUAAAGCUGUGAACUGACCAAGAGACAUACAUGAUCAUCAGAGCUGAGCUGCUGGAUCAAAGAAACCAGAGACAGAUGUGUUGAUAUGAAAUCAGAGAAACUCUUUAUGAAGCAGAAAUAUGACACAGUCUCAUCAGCUCAGCUCACAUUCAGCUGCAGGAGGGUUUUUGUUUCACUCUUUCUCACUGUGGGUCGUCUGGGGCUCUGGGACUAAACUGUGCGUUGUAAACGAGCGGAAGGUAGUGAAGCCCGUGGUGAGCGUGUACCCAGCAGCCUCCAGAGAUCCCCUGAAGAACCACCUGCUGUGUGUGGCCUCAGCCAUGUUCCCUCGUGAGGUCCAGUUCUCCUGGAAAAGACUGAAGCAGAACGGCGGCCUGGAGGAGCUGAACUCCAGAGAGGGAGAGCAGCUGGAGCUCAGAGAGUCGGGACGCUUCACCUCCAUCUUGGUGCUCAAACACUAUGAUCCGAAAACAAAAUAUCGCUGCUCUGUGAAGCACGAGGGAGGAACAGUGGAGGCUGAAACAGAGCAAGUCAUAGAGGUCACUGCCCCUCCGUCUACUGCUCCAUCGACUCCUCCUCCUCCCUCUACUCCUCCUCCCACCCUUCCUCCCUCUACUCCUCCUCCUCCUCCUCCUACCCUUCCUCCCUCUACUCCUCCUCCUCCUCCUCCUCCAGCCGUCCCUUCACCACUCUGGUCCAGAGAGAGGCUGCUCUGCCUGCAGUACACAGUGCUGAUAGUGAAGAGUGUGGUCUACUGCUUUGGACUCUCUCUGAUGAUGAUCCUCAGAAACAAAGGACCGUCCACCAGCUCCACACAUGCUGACUGACCUCCAAGAGCUUUGACGUCUCACUCACACCUGCUGGAAAACUCAAACAUGUUUUCUGUCAUCAACUGUAAAGAACAACAAAGAUUAUCUUGAAACAAUCUUCCUCCUGAACACAUGUAGAAAACACAGAGAAGAAGAACAGAAAGAGGAACUUCAGUUCAGUCAGUAUUUUAAACAAAGAAACUAAUGACAUUUCUCUGCUUUUCUCUUUUAUGAUAUUGCUUCUCAGUGUUCAACUUUCUUUACAUUUCCUCAGUGUUACUUUCAGAAUAAAAAUGUUUGACUAAAACGAAAAAAAGUUUUUUCUGAAAAGGUUUGUAAAAGAUUUCAGUUUGUAGUGAUGAAUUUAAAAUAUGUGAAUUCCCACAUUUCUUUCAAAAUGCUUUCUUUCACUGACUAUAUUUUAGUUCUUAAUUAUCAAAAAUGUUCCUGGUUGAUUAUAUUGAAAAAAACACAUUUUACACAGUUUAAAGAUUUUGAUAUUUCAAGUAAAAUUAUUUUGAACCAUUUAUUCUAUUGAUAUAUCAGUUUAUU
rnacentral:lncRNA from 1 species